rnacentral:rRNA from 1 species
UACGAAGGGGGCUAGCGUUGCUCGGAAUGACUGGGCGUAAAGGGCGCGUAGGCGGCUUGAUAAGGUUGCGGUGAAAGUCAGGGGCUCAACCCCUGAUCGGCCGUGCGAACUGGGGAGCUUGAGCACUGUAGAGGCAGGCGGAAUUCCGGGUGUAGCGGUGGAAUGCGUAGAGAUCCGGAAGAACACCGGUGGCGAAGGCGGCCUGCUGGGCAGUUUUGCUGACACUGAGGCGCGACAGCGUGGGGAGCAACAGG